AGGUUUAUUGCACAGGCACUGAGACUCAUACCAAGACUGAGAAACAUUCACCCAAUAGAGAAGAAAAGAAGGUCCGAUGAUUGCAGUUGCUUCUAGUUCAGAAAUGUAUGAAGGUAAGAAGAUAGCCCCAGAUCUAUGUCUGGCAUUCAAGGCUUCAUAAUGUGGCUUUAACAUUCUCAUUCACCUACUCCUCCCCAUUCUUCAAUACAGAGCCUAUGUAUUUUAGAAGCUUGUAUCUCCAUGGUUACCCAAAAAGAAAUCUAUUCCUCACUCAAGUCCUUGCUCAUCAUGCUCUUUCUCUUCUUUUCUGUCCCUCUCAGCCAUCCAAAUCCUACCGAAACUUUGAGGCCCAAACAAGUUUGAUCUUAUGGAGGUAUAUUAACUCCAUCUCACUGUGUGCUUUGUGUCUCUGCAUUCCUGACAUGCUAAUAUCCCUUCCGAGGUAUUUGCAGUAUGUUCCCUUUUAUUGUCCUCUAUAUUUACUGUAAAGAUUAGUCUCCUAAAUUCUACUGGAAAUUUCUAGUCAGGAAUAUUCUUAAAUUUUAUUUAUAUCAACAACUGUACCUAGUUCCAUGUAUACAGUAGAUGUUUAAUGAAUGAUCGUUGAAUUCUUGUGCUCCUUUAUGUUAGGAUAGGCACUGUUCUAUGAGCAGUCCCAUAAUCCAGAAGAUCCGGUGCCUCCUCUUUACAGGUUUAUAGAUUAGCAGUGGGAUUGGCUGUGGUCAGGUAGACAAGACAGAGAACCCUCCUGUGAAGCAGGAAGUGGUUAGUGCCAGGAGAGAGUUCGACAUGGAAUUCAGAAGAAGACUCUACUCUGUCUUUUUAUUGUGCAUUCUCAGCUCUUAACUCAAUGCCUGUCACAGAGUGAGUACUCAGAUAUUUGUCGAUUAAAUUAAAGGAAUGGCUUCUACUUCGAGAGUGAGGAACCUUGAAAGAAAGAUAUUUUAUUAAGAUUUAUCAAGAAAAAUAGGCCAUCAGGAGGCAAAAUGGAGGACAGGAGGCAGGACUAACUUGCACCUGCUACACUGAUGAACAGAGCAGCUUGUGCAGACCCACAUUGUGAACAUUUGCUCCAAGAACUCCUCCAGGAACAUAUCACAAAAGUGGAGAGAAUUCACAGACCCUUUGAAGGAGAUGGAUUGCUGCUUGCUUCAGGCUCUGUGGGACAGCAGAGGAACAGUGAAAUCUGCUUGCUUUCUCAGCUGAAGCCAAAGGACAUAAUCUCUUGGGACUGCUAUGAUCCUGCCAACCACCUGAUCCUCCCUAUAAUACCACAGUUGAUGUGCUCUUGAAAGUGCCACCUCCUGGCUGGAGGCCAACCAACACAAAACAGUACACUGAACAAAUAUACGCCCAAGGACCCUCACAGAAUCCACUUCACUCUUCUGUUACCUCUGCUGGAGCGGGUGUUGGUAUCCACACUGAGACCUGAAGAUGGAUCAUAGCACAGGACUUUUUGAAUACACUCCCCAGUACCAGCCCAGAGCCAGGUAGCUCCACUGGAUGGCUAGAUCCAGAAGAGAAAAAGCAAUUACUACAGUUCAGCUCUCAGGAAACCCCAUCCCUUGGGAAAAGGGGAGAGCACCACAUCAAGGGAGCCUCCCAUGGGACAAAAGACUGAACAGCAGCCCAUGAGUCCUAGAUCUUCCCUCCAAUGUAAUCUACCUAAAUGAGAAGAAACCAGAAAAACAAUUCUGGUAAUAUGACAAAACAAGAUUCUUUAACAUCCCCGAAAGAUCCCACUAUCUCACCAGUCAUGGAUCUAAACAAAGAUGAAAUCUCUGGAUUUCCAGAAACAAAUUCAGCCGGUUGACUACUAAACCAAUCAAGGAGGCACCAGAGAAAGGUGAAGAACAACUUUAAGAAAUUGAAAAACCUAAUACAGGACAUGAAUGGAGAAAUAUGUAGUAAAAUAGAGAGCAUAAAUGAAAAACAAUAAAAACUUCUGGAAAUGAAGGAUACACUUAGAGAACUGAAAAAUGAAUUGGAAAGUCUCAGCAAUUGUAUUAAAUAAGUAGAAGAAAGAACUUCAGAGCUCAGAGACAAGACUAUUAAAUUAACACAAUUCAACAAAGACAAAGAAAAAAGAAUUCUCUAAAAGGACAAAGCAUGUAAGUUUGGGAUUAUGAUAAAUAACCAAACCUCAGAGUGAUUGGUGUUCCUGAGGAAGAAGAAAAAUAUAAAGUUUACCUCACAUUUGAGGGAAUAAGCAAGGAAAGCUUCCCUGGCCUUGCUAGAGAUCUAGACCGACCUCCAAAUAUGAGAAGCUUAAAGAAUCCCUGAGAAAUUCUUCACAAAAAGAUCACCACCUACACACAUAGUCAUCAGGAUGAAGGAAGGAAUCUUAAGAGCUGUGAGGGAAAAGCAUCAGGUAACUUGUAGGCCAAAAUAAUAGAGAGCAGACCUACACCAUAUCUACUUAAGAAUUAGUCUGCUUCUGUUUAAUAAGUUAGCCUUAGUUUAAGAUUUAUAGUUUACAGAAGUUGGUGCAUUAUAUUAGCUAAACAAAAAGUGCAGCUUGUACUUUGUAAAACAAUCCUGGGUUGGUGAGAAAGCUUGUAAAUUGCUCAUCACAGCCCUAGAAUGUUUGGGCAUCAAAGAAGGGAGCAUUGCUCAAGCUCUUGCUACUUGAACCCCUUGGUAAGAGUCUCAUGGCCUGGAGGAGGGGACUCUGCUCAGAGGCUCAUAAAGGGUCUUGCAGGAGGCUUCUGGGCUGGUUGAGAUAAGGGUGGCAUUCUCUGGUCUCCCACCUGUUCCAUGGGUGACUGGGCUCAGGAGAUAGUCUCUCCUUUGAGGUAUGUCGCGUGAUCAGAACUUGCUGGCUUUUACCCAUUCCCACACUCCUGCAGCUGCACCUCAGUGUUUAUCCUUUGUUUAACUAUAUAGUACUAGUUUAGUUUUUUAGAAUAGCCACAUACCCCCUACUAAAUGUAUGUGGCAUAAACUGUUCCAUUGUGUGUACUCACCCUAUGAUCACCCCACCUUGAGUGAUAUGAUCAAACAAUCUGUGUGUUGCACUAAAUACAUGUGGAGCCUAGAGCUCAGGGUCUUCAUGGUCCUCAUCUUGUGAAGAACCCCUGGGCCCAUGCUAAUGAUUUCUAUUUCUGUGUCUGCGUCUUUUUUUUCCUUAAUUCCCUCAUCACUGCUGGGGCUUAGAACACCCACGGGUUGUGCUGAGGCUGAUCUGCAACAGUAACCUAUAAAAGAAAACCUGUCAGAUUAAUAGCAGAUUUCUCAGCAGAAACUCUACAAGCUAGAAGACACUGGUGUUCUUUCUUUGGGCUCCUUAAACAUAACAAUUGCCAGUCAAGAAUCUUGCAUCCAGCAAAACUAAGUUUCAUAAAUGAAGGAAAUAUAGAGUCUUUUCAUACAAACAAAUGCUGAGAGAAUUCAUCGUUACCAAGCCAGCACUACAAGAACUGUUAAAAGGAGCUGUAAAUCUUGAAACAAAUCCUGGAAACACAUGAAAGCAGAAUGCUUUUAAAGCAUCUAUCUCACAGGACAUAUAAACCAACUACACAAGGAAAAAAAAUAACCCAAGGUAUACAGGCAACAAAUGAAUAGAAUAGCACUUCCCAUCUCAAUACCAAUGUUGAAUGCAAAGGGCCUAAAUGCUCCACUUAAAAUAUAAAGAAUUGCAGAAUAGAUAGGAAUUUACCAACCAAGCAUCUGCUGUCUUCAAGAGACUCACCUGACACAUAAGGACUCACAUAAACUUAAGGUAAAGGGGUGGAAGAUGAUAUUCCAUGCAAAUGGAAAACAAAAGUGAGCAAGAGUAGCUGUUCUUAUGUCAGACAAAACAAACUUUAAAGCAACAGAAGUUAAAAAAGACAAAGAGAAACAUUAUAUAAUGAUAAAAGGACCAGUCCAACAGGAAAAUACACAAUCCUAAAUAUGUAAGUACCUAAUACUGAAGCUCCCAAAUUUACAAAACAAUUACUGCCAAACCUAAGAAAUGAGAUUGACAGCAACACAAUAAUAAUAGGAGAUUUCAAUACUCCACUGACAGCACUAGACAGGUCAAGUCAAGGCAGAAACAAUGGGCUUAAACUAUAGCCAUCAACAAACUGACUUAAUGGAUAUUUAUAGAACAUUCUACCCAAGAGCUGAAGAAUAUACAUUCUAUGCUAUUCUAUUCAUGAGCACAUGGAAGAGUGUCCAAGGUAGACCAUAUGAUAGUUGACAAAACAAGUCUCAAUAAAUUCAAGAAAAUUGAAAUUAUAGCAAGUACUCGAAUAAAAUUUGAAAUCAACUCCAAAAGGAACCUUUAAAACCAUGCAAAUACAUGAAAAUUAAAUUACCUGCUUAAUGAAAAUUAAAUUACCUAUUACAAAUAGACUAUCUGAAGUCACACCUCAAGUAGCCUGAGAAAGAAUAACAAACAAAACCCAAACCCAGUAGAAAAGAAAUAACCAAGAUCAGAGAAGAAUUAAAUGAAAUUGGAACAAAAAAACAAAAGAUAAAUUUUAAAAAGCAGAUUCUUUGAAAAAAUAAAUAAAAUUGAUAGAUCAUGGGCAAUGUUAACUAUGAAAAGAAGAGGGAAGAUCCAAAAAACUCAAUUAGAAAUGAAAUGGGAAAAAUUACAAACAAUACCAUAGAAAUACAAAAGAUCAUUCAAGGCUACUAUGAAUACCUUUUUGUGCAUAAACUAGAAAACGUAGAGGAGAUGAAUAAAUUCCUGUAAAGAUACAACCUAGAUUAAACCGAGAGGUAACAGAAAGUCUGAACAGACCAAUAAGAAGCAGAGCAAUUGAAAUAAUUAAAAGGUUACUUCCCCCAAAAAGUUCAGGACCAGACAAAUUCACAGCUGAGUUCUAUCAGACAUUCAAGGAAGAAUUGAUACCUAUCCUAUUGACACUAUUCCAAAUGAUAGAGAAAGAAGGAAUCUUCCUUAAGUCAACUAUAAAGCCAGUGUCUCCCUAAUACCAAAACCAGGAAAGGACAUAACAAAAAAAUAAAACUACAGACCAAUAUUUCUGAUGAACAUAGAUACAAAAUUUCUCAUCGAAGUACUAGUGGCCUGAAUCCAAUGGUAUAUCAAACAGUUAAUCUACCAUGUUCAAAUGGGUUUCAUAUCAGGGAUGCAUGAAUGGUUUAACACACACAAGUCAAUAAAUGUGAUACAUCACAUAAACAGAAUUAAAAACAAAAAUCACAUGAUCAUGUCAGUAGAUGCAGAAAAAGCAUUUGACAAAAUCCAGCAUCUUUUAUGAUUAAAGGCCUCAGCAAAGUUGGCAUAAAAGGGACAUACCUGAAGGUAAUAAAAGCCAUCUAUGACAAACCCACAGCCAACAUAAUACUGAAUGGGGAAAAGUUAAAAGCAUUCUCCCCUGAGAACUGAAACAAGACAAGGCUGCCCACUUUCAUGACUUCUAUUCAACACAGUACUGGAAGCUCCAGACGGAGCAAAUGGAUAAGAGAAAGAAAUAAAGGGCCUCCAAAUUGGUAAAGAGGAAGUAAAGCUGUUUCUGCUUGCUGAUGACAUGAUUGUAUGCCUAAAAAUCUUAAAGACUCAUCCAAAAAGCUCCUAGAACUGGUAAAUGAAUUCAGCAAAGUUUCAGAAUACAAAAGUAAUGUACACAAAUCAGUAGCCCUGCUAUAUACCAACAGUAACCAAGCUGAGAAUCAAAUCAACUCAAUCCCUUUUACAAUAGCUGCAGAAAAAUUAAACACUUAGGAAUAUACUUAACUAAAGAGGUGAAAUAUCUCUACAAGAAAAACUACAAAACACUGCUGAAAAAAAAAAAUAGAU